CAACCGGCGAGCAGCGCCAGCAGCAUCGCG
rnacentral:antisense_RNA from 1 species